CACGGGGGGAACGCGAAGAACCUUACCCAGGCUCGAACGGUAGAUGACACCUUACGAAAGUAGGCUCCCGCAAGGGCAUCUAUCGAGGUGCUGCAUGGCUGUCGUCAGCUCGUGUCGUGAGAUGUUGGGUUAAGUCCCGCAACGAGCGCAACCCUUGUCUUCUGUUGCCAUCAGGUCAAGCUGGGCACUCUGAAGAGACUGCCGGUGACAAACCGGAGGAAGGUGGGGAUGACGUCAAGUCAGCAUGGCCUUUAUGUCUGGGGCCACACGCGUGCUACAAUGGCAGGUACAAACCGUCGCGAGACCGCAAGGUGGAGCUAAUCGGAGAAAGCCUGUCUCAGUUCGGAUUGUCGGCUGCAACUCGCCGGCAUGAAGUUGGAAUCGCUAGUAAUCGCGGAUCAGCACGCCGCGGUGAAUACGUUCCCGGGUCUUGUACACACGC
rnacentral:rRNA from 1 species